rnacentral:rRNA from 1 species
UACGUAGGGUGCAAGCGUUAUCCGGAAUUAUUGGGCGUAAAGAGCUCGUAGGCGGUUUGUCGCGUCUGCUGUGAAAACUGGAGGCUCAACCUCCAGCCUGCAGUGGGUACGGGCAGACUAGAGUGCGGUAGGGGAGAUUGGAAUUCCUGGUGUAGCGGUGGAAUGCGCAGAUAAUCAGGAGGAACACCGAUGGCGAAGGCAGAUCUCUGGGCCGUAACUGACGGCUGAGGAGCGAAAGCAUGGGGAGCGAACAGG